rnacentral:misc_RNA from 1 species
CCGAGUUCAUGCCCUUAUGGGUAGACCUCCCACCCUGUGUACUACACUUUGUUGCUUUGGCGGGCCGCCUUAGGCCGCCGGCUCCGGCUGGCGAGCGCCCGCCAGAGGCCACUAGACACUGAUUUACGUUCUGUCCGAGCACUAUAUAAUAGUUA